rnacentral:tRNA from 1 species
GCAGUGGUGGUUCAGUGGAAUAAUUCUUGCCUUCCACGUGGGAGACCUGGGAUCAAUUCCCAGCCAGUUCA